ACGCUGGCGGCGUGCUUAACACAUGCAAGUCGAACGGGAUCCAUCAGGCUUUGCUUGGUGGUGAGAGUGGCGAACGGGUGAGUAAUGCGUGACCGACCUGCCCCAUACACCGGAAUAGCUCCUGGAAACGGGUGGUAAUGCCGGAUGCUCCGACUCCUCGCAUGGGGUGUCGGGAAAGAUUUCAUCGGUAUGGGAUGGGGUCGCGUCCUAUCAGGUAGUCGGCGGGGUAACGGCCCACCGAGCCUACGACGGGUAGCCGGCCUGAGAGGGCGACCGGCCACAUUGGGACUGAGAUACGGCCCAGACUCCUACGGGAGGCAGCAGUGGGGAAUAUUGCACAAUGGGCGCAAGCCUGAUGCAGCGACGCCGCGUGCGGGAUGACGGCCUUCGGGUUGUAAACCGCUUUUGAUCGGGAGCAAGCCUUCGGGUGAGUGUACCUUUCGAAUAAGCACCGGCUAACUACGUGCCAGCAGCCGCGGUAAUACGUAGGGUGCAAGCGUUAUCCGGAAUUAUUGGGCGUAAAGGGCUCGUAGGCGGUUCGUCGCGUCCGGUGUGAAAGUCCAUCGCUUAACGGUGGAUCUGCGCCGGGUACGGGCGGGCUGGAGUGCGGUAGGGGAGACUGGAAUUCCCGGUGUAACGGUGGAAUGUGUAGAUAUCGGGAAGAACACCAAUGGCGAAGGCAGGUCUCUGGGCCGUUACUGACGCUGAGGAGCGAAAGCGUGGGGAGCGAACAGGAUUAGAUACCCUGGUAGUCCACGCCGUAAACGGUGGAUGCUGGAUGUGGGGCCCGUUCCACGGGUUCCGUGUCGGAGCUAACGCGUUAAGCAUCCCGCCUGGGGAGUACGGCCGCAAGGCUAAAACUCAAAGAAAUUGACGGGGGCCCGCACAAGCGGCGGAGCAUGCGGAUUAAUUCGAUGCAACGCGAAGAACCUUACCUGGGCUUGACAUGUUCCCGACAGCCGUAGAGAUAUGGCCUCCCUUCGGGGCGGGUUCACAGGUGGUGCAUGGUCGUCGUCAGCUCGUGUCGUGAGAUGUUGGGUUAAGUCCCGCAACGAGCGCAACCCUCGCCCUGUGUUGCCAGCACGUCAUGGUGGGAACUCACGGGGGACCGCCGGGGUCAACUCGGAGGAAGGUGGGGAUGACGUCAGAUCAUCAUGCCCCUUACGUCCAGGGCUUCACGCAUGCUACAAUGGCCGGUACAACGGGAUGCGACACGGCGACGUGGAGCGGAUCCCUGAAAACCGGUCUCAGUUCGGAUUGGAGUCUGCAACCCGACUCCAUGAAGGCGGAGUCGCUAGUAAUCGCGGAUCAGCAACGCCGCGGUGAAUGCGUUCCCGGGCCUUGUACACACCGCCCGUCAAGUCAUGAAAGUGGGUAGCACCCGAAGCCGGUGGCCUAACCCUUUGUGGAUGGAGCCGUCUAAGGUGAGACUCGUGAUUGGGACUAAGUCGUAACAAGGUAGCCGUACCGGAAGGUGCGGCUG
rnacentral:rRNA from 1 species